GAAUUUUGCAGUUUGUAGAACAGUAUAUGUUAAAGGGCGGUGUUUAAGAUGUGAAGACAAGUGAAAGUGCUGUAUCUUUGGCUAGAGUGGAGAUUGUAUGUGCACUGCUGAAAUAUUAAGCAUUUGGCCGACGCUUCACAUACAGUUGAUCAGGUUGUGGAUUUUGGCCUGUGGAAUGUUGGUCCACUCCUCUUCAAUAGCUGUGUGAAGUGGCUGGAUAUUGGCAGGCUGCUUGACUGACAAAAGAGAACUGACCGGGACACUUUGCUGCAAUGAGUGGAGCUUCCCCAGUGCGCAAAGCCUUCACUGCCAAACCCAACAGGGCUUCCAACAGCACCCGUGGAACAUGGACAUGCUGUUAGUGAGUUCCAGGAGCCUGAAAAUUGUAAGGGUGAGGCAGUAAUUCAUGCCGCAAACAUGCUAGAACAGAGACCGUGGUAUGUGCGCUCCAUAUACGGCUGUGACCUGAACACUGCGGAGGGGGCGGGGCUUAGAAGGACACGUCACUGCAGCCCGAGACUGUGUGUGUGUGUGUGUGUGUGUAUGUAUGUGUGUGUGUGUGUGUGAGAGAGAGAUGCGCGCGCCGGUGUUGCCAGGUCCGCGGUUUAUUCCGGUAAUAAUAUCAAAGUUAAUCCUCGUCACAGUGCUGCUGUUUAAUACAGUGACUAAAGUGUGUUCAGUGUCACAUCUCUGUACUAAAGUGUGUUCAGUGUCACAUCUCUGUACUAAAGUGUGUUCAGUGUCACAUCUCUGUACUAAAGUGUGUUCAGUGUCACA